rnacentral:rRNA from 1 species
AACAGAGGGUGCAAGCGUUGUUCGGAAUUAUUGGGCGUAAAGCGCGUGUAGGCGGCUUUGCAAGUCGGGUGUGAAAGCCCUCAGCUCAACUGAGGAAGUGCGCCCGAAACUGCAGAGCUUGAGUACCGGAGAGGAUGGCGGAAUUCCCCAAGUAGAGGUGAAAUUCGUAGAUAUGGGGAGGAACACCGGUGGCGAAGGCGGCCAUCUGGACGGAUACUGACGCUGAGACGCGAAAGCGUGGGGAGCAAACAGG